rnacentral:rRNA from 1 species
UUACGGGAGGCAGCAGUGGGGAAUAUUGCGCAAUGGGGGAAACCCUGACGCAGCAACGCCGCGUGAGCGAUGAAGGCCUUCGGGUCGUAAAGCUCUGUCUUCAGGGACGAAAAAUGACGGUACCUGAGGAGGAAGCCACGGCUAACUACGUGCCAGCAGCCGCGGUAAUACGUAGGUGGCGAGCGUUGUCCGGAAUUACUGGGCGUAAAGGAUGCGUAGGCGGAUGUUUAAGUCAGAUGUGAAAUCCCCGGGCUCAACCCGGGAAUAGCAUUUGAAACUGGAUAUCUAGAGUGCAGGAGAGGAAAGCGGAAUUCCUAGUGUAGCGGUGAAAUGCGUAGAUAUUAGGAAGAACACCAGUGGCGAAGGCGGCUUUCUGGACUGUAACUGACGCUGAGGCAUGAAAGCGUGGGGAGCAAACAGGAUUAGAUACCCCUGUAGUCCU